UACGUAGGUCCCGAGCGUUGUCCGGAAUUACUGGGUAUAAAGGGUGCGCAGGCGGUCUUGUGCGUCAGAAGUGAAAUAUCACGGCUCAACCGUGAGGGUGCUUUUGAUACGGCAAGACUUGAGUACGGGAGAGGAUGAUGGAAUUCCUGGUGUAGCAGUGAAAUGCGUAGAUAUCAGGAGGAACACCGAUGGCGAAGGCAGGUCUCUGGGCCACUACUGACGCUGAGAAGCGAAAGCAUGGGGAGCGAACAGG
rnacentral:rRNA from 1 species